ACCUGACUGACUCAGUCAAAAGAGCAUGUGACUCUUGAUCUCAGGGUGAUGAGUUCAAGUCUCAUGUUGGGUA
rnacentral:tRNA from 1 species